UGGCGGACGGGUGAGUAACGCGUGGGUAACCUGCCUCAUACAGGGGGAUAACAGUUAGAAAUGACUGCUAAUACCGCAUAAGACCACAGUACCGCAUGGUACAGGGGUAAAAACUCCGGUGGUAUGAGAUGGACCCGCGUCUGAUUAGGUAGUUGGUGAGGUAACGGCCCACCAAGGCGACGAUCGGUAGCCGGACUGAGAGGUUGAACGGCCACAUUGGGACUGAGACACGGCCCAG
rnacentral:rRNA from 1 species